GGCAGUGUAGCUCAAUGGUUAGAGAAUCCCUCCAGAUUGGGGUAGUCAUGGGUUCAAAUCCCAUUGCACACA